rnacentral:rRNA from 1 species
AAGGGGAUAACACUUGGAAACAGGUGCUAAUACCGCAUAACAGUUUAUGCCGCAUGGCAUAAGAGUGAAAGGCGCUUUCGGGUGUCGCUGAUGGAUGGACCCGCGGUGCAUUAGCUAGUUGGUGAGGUAACGGCUCACCAAGGCCACGAUGCAUAGCCGACCUGAGAGGGUGAUCGGCCACACUGGGACUGAGACACGGCCCAG